UCCAAGGUACUCCCCUCCAUCCUCCUUCCGAGCUUAUCUUUCUGCAAGGACAGGUGAAUGACCAGAACAAUGACCAGUGUGAAGGGGCACAAAUGGGCACAAAUGUUAAUUAAACGAUUGAGGCUAUUUCUAUGUUUAUGCUGUAAACCUGACAUCCGAAAAGUUACGACCAAAUUUGUUUGUUAAGAAAGCAAUUGUUAGAAGUCAAUUAAGCAAUGAAGACAUUUGCAUCUGGGCGGCAAAGAUUUGUGUCUACUCGGUGUUUGUAUGAUCAGUGAAACGUCACGAAAGAGUGUGAACCUGCAGUACUCAGCCAAUGAGGAACCAGGGGAGAAAGAGAUCAGCGACGGGCAAUAGGGGAUAAAAGAUGUAACACUGCUUUCUCGGGGCUCUCCUGCUUGCAGGAGGCCCGCCAUUGCAAUUGCGAAUAAAAUCUGCUUUAUCAGAGAAA